UACAGAGGUCUCAAGCGUUGUUCGGAUUCAUUGGGCGUAAAGGGUGCGUAGGCGGCGCGGUAAGUCGGGUGUGAAAUUUCGGAGCUUAACUCCGAAACUGCAUUCGAUACUGCCGUGCUUGAGGACUGGAGAGGAGAUUGGAAUUUACGGUGUAGCAGUGAAAUGCGUAGAUAUCGUAAGGAAGACCAGUGGCGAAGGCGAAUCUCUGGACAGUUACUGACACUGAGGCACGAAGGCCAGGGGAGCAAACGGG
rnacentral:rRNA from 1 species